rnacentral:rRNA from 1 species
UACGAAGGGGACUAGCGUUGUUCGGAAUUACUGGGCGUAAAGCGCGCGUAGGCGGAUCGCUAAGUCAGGGGUGAAAUCCCAGGGCUCAACCCUGGAACUGCCUUUGAUACUGAAGAUCUUGAGUUCGGGAGAGGUGAGUGGAACUGCGAGUGUAGAGGUGAAAUUCGUAGAUAUUCGCAAGAACACCAGUGGCGAAGGCGGCUCACUGGCCCGAUACUGACGCUGAGGCACGAAAGCGUGGGGAGCAAACAGG